rnacentral:rRNA from 1 species
UCGGACGGGUGAGUAACGCGUGGAGAACCUGCCGUAUACUGGGGGAUAACACUUAGAAAUAGGUGCUAAUACCGCCAUAAGCGCACAGCUUCGCAUGAAACAGUGUGAAAAACUCCGGUGGUAUACGAUGGAUCCGCGUCUGAUUAGCUGGUUGGCGGGGUAACAGCCCACCAAGGCGACGAUCAGUAGCCGGCCUGAGAGGGUGAACGGCCACAUUGGGACUGAGACACGGCCCAAACUCCUACGGAAGGCAGCAG